rnacentral:misc_RNA from 1 species
GAUGAAGAACGCAGCGAAAUGCGAUAAGUAGUGUGAAUUGCAGAAUUCAGUGAAUCAUCGAAUCUUUGAACGCACAUUGCGCCUUCUAGUAUUCUGGGAGGCAUGCCUGUUUGAGCGUCAUUAAACCUCUCUCAAGUAUGAUUACUUGGAUGUGAAGGAAGAGUACCUUAAACUUAAGGAGUGUUCUCCUUUGAAAUUGAUUAGCAGAUGGUAAUGUUAUUAAAUCCCUGAUGUUGUAAGAAAUAACAGUGGUUUUGUAGACUAUUAUCUAGCUUUAAAUUAUAAUUUUUAUUAUGGUUGACCUCAAAUCAGGUAAGGAUACCUGCUGAACUUAAGCAUAUCAAUAAGCGGAGGA